rnacentral:rRNA from 1 species
CCUACGGGAGGCAGCAGUGGGGGAUAUUGCACAAUGGGGGGAACCCUGAUGCAGCGACGCCGCGUGGGUGAAGGAGGGUUUCGGCGCGUAAAGCUCUAUCGGCAGGGAAGAAGAUGACGGUACCUGACCAAGAAGCCCCGGCUAACUACGUGCCAGCAGCCGCGGUAAUACGUAGGGGGCAAGCGUUAUCCGGAUGUACUGGGUGGAAAGGGGGCGCAGACGGCAAUGCAAGCCAGGCGGGAAAGCCCGGGGCCCAACCCCGGGACUGCUCUUGGAACUGCAUGGCUGGAGUACAGGAGGGGCAGGCGGAAUUCCUAGUGUAGCGGUGAAAUGCGUAGAUAUUAGGAGGAACACCGGUGGCGAAGGCGGCCUGCUGGACUGUGACUGACGUUGAGGCCCGAAGGCGUGGGGAGCAAACAGGAUUAGAUACCCUAGUAGUC